UACAGAGGGUGCGAGCGUUAAUCGGAAUUACUGGGCGUAAAGCGCGCGUAGGCGGCUUUGCAAGUCGGGUGUGAAAUCCCCAGGCUUAACCUGGGAACUGCAUUCGAGACUGCAUUGCUGGAGUACGGAAGAGGAAGGCGGAAUUCCCGGUGUGGCGGUGAAAUGCGUAGAUAUCGGGAGGAACAUCAGUGGCGAAGGCGGCCUUCUGGUCCAGUACUGACACUCAAGUGCGAAAGCGUGGGGAGCAAACAGG
rnacentral:rRNA from 1 species